GACCGGGUAGCCAAGCGGUAAGGCAUCGGUGCUGGCAUCACCGAGAUCGCGGGUUCGAGUCCCGCCCCGGUCU
rnacentral:tRNA from 1 species